rnacentral:tRNA from 1 species
GGUGUGUAGCUCAGUGCUAGAGUGCAUACUUAGCACAAAGGAGGCCCUGGGUUCAGCCCCAGCUGGCACCA